rnacentral:misc_RNA from 1 species
AAGUCGUAACAAGGUUUCCGUAGGUGAACCUGCGGAAGGAUCAUUAUCGUGGGGCUCCGGCCCCGUCGAGAUAACACCCUUGCCUUUAUGAGUACCGCUCGUUUCCUCGGCAGGUCCGCCUGCCAAUGGGGACACAACAACACCCUGAAGCACCUGUAACAGCCUGAUAAAACAAACAAAAGUCAAAACUUUCAACAACGGAUCUCUUGGUUCUG